CUCGUGAAUGGGAACUAGGAUGAUUCCUUUCAUGAGUUAUUCUCUGUACUGUUGGUACAACGUUCCUCCUUGAGCUGGGGAGACCUAGCAUCCUGGGUCCCUGAAUGACUGUGUGGAAGAAGUCACCUAGCAACCGGAUCACCCUUGUCAAUUGUUGCAUAUGCAAGAAGUAACCUUCUAUUUCAACCGUGGAGUUUUCACUCAUUCUUGACUGUAAGGCCUCCCUCCAAACUGGUCCAGAUCUCAGCCACUUUCACAGCCUCAAGAUUCAAGCUAAAGCUGCCAUGAUCCUUUUCCCUCAAUUCCUUUAAAAAUACUCGUCUCCCUACUGGAUUCCCCAGGAAAAGGGACGUUGUCUGGUUCCACAGGUGCAGAUGGAGC
rnacentral:lncRNA from 1 species